rnacentral:rRNA from 1 species
UACGAAGGGGGCUAGCGUUGUCCGGAUUUACUGGGCGUAAAGCGCACGUAGGCGGAUCGUUAAGUCGGGGGUGAAAUCCUGGAGCUCAACUCCAGAACUGCCUUCGAUACUGGCGAUCUUGAGUCCGGAAGAGGUGAGUGGAACUCCUAGUGUAGAGGUGGAAUUCGUAGAUAUUAGGAAGAACACCAGUGGCGAAGGCGGCUCACUGGUCCGGUACUGACGCUGAGGUGCGAAAGCGUGGGGAGCAAACAGG